CCUACGGGCGGCAGCAGUGGGGAAUAUUGGGCAAUGGAGGAAACUCUGACCCAGCAAUGCCGCGUGAAUGAAGAAGGUCUUCGGAUUGUUAAGUUCUUUAGUCAGGGAAGAAUAAAAUGACGGUACCUGAAGAAUAAGCUCCGGCUAACUACGUGCCAGCAGCCGCGGUAAUACGUCGGGAGCAAGCGUUGUUCGGAAUGACUGGGGGUCAAGGGUGCGUAGGCGGUUAUACAAGUUAGAGGGGAAAUACCCAGGGGUUAACUCUGGUGCUGCUUCUAAAACUGUAAGACUUGAGAGCAGUAGAGGUUAGUGGAAUAACUAAUGUAGCGGUGUAAUGCGUAGAGAUUAGGAGGAACACCAGAGGCGAAGGCGGCUAACUGGACUGAAACUGACGCUGAGGCACGAAAGUGUGGGUAGCAAACAGGAUUAGAUACCCGAGUAGUC
rnacentral:rRNA from 1 species